GAUGAACGCUGGCGGCGUGCCUAAUACAUGCAAGUCGAGCGAACGGACGAGAAGCUUGCUUUUCUGAUGUUAGCGGCGGACGGGUGAGUAACACGUGGAUAACCUACCUAUAAGACUGGGAUAACUUCGGGAAACCGGAGCUAAUACCGGCUAAUAUUUUGAACCGCAUGGUUCAAAAGUGAAAGACGGUCUUGCUGUCACUUAUAGAUGGAUCCGCGCUGCAUUAGCUAGUUGGUAAGGUAACGGCUUACCAAGGCAACGAUGCAUAGCCGACCUGAGAGGGUGAUCGGCCACACUGGAACUGAGACACGGUCCAGACUCCUACGGGAGGCAGCAGUAGGGAAUCUUCCGCAAAGGGCGAAAGCCUGACGGAGCAACGCCGCGUGAGUGAUGAAGGUCUUCGGAUCGUAAAACUCUGUUAUUAGGGAAGAACAUAUGUGGAAGUAACUGUGCACAUCUUGACGGUACCUAAUCAGAAAGCCACGGCUAACUACGUG
rnacentral:rRNA from 1 species